UGUCCCUGUCCUGAGUAGAGUGGCCUCUGUUUGGCAGAGCUGAUCGCUUAUCAGUCAGGGACAAAGCAACCACUUGUGCUUCCCAACUUGGGUUUUGAUCUCUGCCCAAGCCUGGUUUAUGCCCUGGACAAGUGG